AACGAACGCUGGCGGCAUGCCUAACACAUGCAAGUCGAACGAGACCUUCGGGUCUAGUGGCGCACGGGUGCGUAACGCGUGGGAAUCUGCCCUCGGGUCCGGAAUAACUCAGAGAAAUUUGAGCUAAUACCGGAUGAUGACGUAAGCCCAAAGAUUUAUCGCCCAGGGAUGAGCCCGCGUAGGAUUAGCUAGUUGGUGAGGUAAAGGCUCACCAAGGCGACGAUCCUUAGCGGUCUGAGAGGAUGAUCAGCCACACUGGGACUGAGACACGGCCCAGACUCCUACGGGAGGCAGCAGUGGGGAAUAUUGGACAAUGGGCGAAAGCCUGAUCCAGCAAUGCCGCGUGAGUGAUGAAGGCCUUAGGGUUGUAAAGCUCUUUUACCCGGGAUGAUAAUGACAGUACCGGGAGAAUAAGCCCCGGCUAA
rnacentral:rRNA from 1 species